CACGUAGGGUGCAAGCGUUAAUCGGAAUUACUGGGCGUAAAGCGUGCGCAGGCGGCUUUGCAAGACAGGUGUGAAAUCCCCGGGCUUAACCUGGGAACUGCAUUUGUGACUGCAUUGCUGGAGUGCGGCAGAGGGGGAUGGAAUUCCGCGUGUAGCAGUGAAAUGCGUAGAUAUGCGGAGGAACACCGAUGGCGAAGGCGGCAUCCUGGACCGGCAUUGACGCUGAGGCGCGAAGCCAGGGGAGCAAACGGGG
rnacentral:rRNA from 1 species